rnacentral:misc_RNA from 1 species
UUCACAAGUACCUGCAUUCAGAGAAUCACGUCGGCCAGGCCGAUGUGAGAGUCCCUUUUGGGGCCUUAGCUCAGCUGGGAGAGCACCUGCUUUGCAAGCAGGGGGUCGUCGGUUCGAUCCCGACAGGCUCCACCAUGUUCGGGCUUGUUCCGGAAGAGUCUUCCGGGUCUGUAGCUCAGGUGGUUAGAGCGCACCCCUGAUAAGGGUGAGGUCGGUAGUUCGAGUCUACCCAGACCCACCAUUCUCUGAAUGACGCAUACAAUCGAUCUUUAUACGCAUCAGCACUGUGGCUGGUACGUGUUCUUUUAAAACUUGUGACGUA